rnacentral:rRNA from 1 species
GUCCAGACUCCUACGGGAGGCAGCAGUGAGGAAUAUUGGUCAAUGGGCGAGAGCCUGAACCAGCCAAGUCGCGUGAGGGAGUACUGCCCUAUGGGUUGUAAACCUCUUUUGUCGGGGAGCAAAAGCCGGACGUGUCCGGCUGUGAGAGUACCCGAAGAAAAAGCAUCGGCUAACUCCGUGCCAGCAGCCGCGGUAAUACGGAGGAUGCGAGCGUUAUCCGGAUUUAUUGGGUUUAAAGGGAGCGUAGGCCGGCUUUUAAGUCAGCUGUGAAAGUCCGCGGCUCAACCGUGGAAUUGCAGUUGAAACUGGAGGCCUUGAGUGCACACAGGGAUGCCGGAAUUCAUGGUGUAGCGGUGAAAUGCUUAGAUAUCAUGAAGAACUCCGAUCGCGAAGGCAAGUGUCCGGGGUGCAACUGACGCUGAGGCUCGAAAGUGCGGGUAUCAAACAGGAUUAGAUACCCGUGUAGC